rnacentral:rRNA from 1 species
UAAACUACGAUUAGAUACCCUAUUAUUUUAUAUGUAAAUUUUAGUGCUUGAGUAGUAAUAGAUAUGUGCUUGAAACUCAAAGAAUUUGGCGGUGUUUUAGUCCUUUCAGAGGAACCUGUCCCUUAAUCGAUAUUCCACGUUUACCUUACUUAGAUUGGUUUAGCUUGUAUACCGCCGUCGUCAGAAUGUCCUAAAAAGGUCAGAAUUUUCUUAAUUUUUAAUUGGGAGUGAUGUCAGGUCAAGGUGCAGUUUAUAUUUAAGUGGAGAUGGGUUACAUUAAGUUUAUUUAUACGGAAAUGUUUAUUGAAAUAUGCCAUGGAAGGUGGAUUUGAAUGUAAUUGAAUUAAUUAAAUUAAUUUGAUUUUGGCUCUAAAACAUGUACACAUCGCCCGUCGCUCUUA